UUACGGCCAUAUCACGUUGAAACACCGAUUCUCGGACGAUCACCAAAGUUAAGCAACGCCAGGCCUGAUAUUUCCCAAGAUGGGUGACCGCUUGGGAAUACCAGGUAUUGUAAG